AGUGAACGCUGGCGCUAGGCCUAACACAUGCAAGUCGAACGGCAGCACAGUAAGAGCUUGCUCUUACGGGUGGCGAGUGGCGGACGGGUGAGGAAUACAUCGGAAUCUACUUUUUCGUGGGGGAUAACGUAGGGAAACUUACGCUAAUACCGCAUACGACCUACGGGUGAAAGCAGGGGAUCUUCGGACCUUGCGCGAUUGAAUGAGCCGAUGUCGGAUUAGCUAGUUGGCGGGGUAAAGGCCCACCAAGGCGACGAUCCGUAGCUGGUCUGAGAGGAUGAUCAGCCACACUGGAACUGAGACACGGUCCAGACUCCUACGGGAGGCAGCAGUGGGGAAUAUUGGACAAUGGGCGCAAGCCUGAUCCAGCCAUACCGCGUGGGUGAAGAAGGCCUUCGGGUUGUAAAGCCCUUUUGUUGGGAAAGAAAAGCAGCAGGUUAAUACCCCGCUGUCCUGACGGUACCCAAAGAAUAAGCACCGGCUAACUUCGUG
rnacentral:rRNA from 1 species